rnacentral:lncRNA from 1 species
UAAAUAUUAUGCAGUGUUGACAUCAUAUUGACCAAUUGUUUUUCAUAUUUUGAAAUGUUUUUGUUGUGAAAUAUUUACAGAUGACCAUUUCUGCGGCACAUGUCAACCCUGAGGAAGGCUCCCAUCUUGCUCUCCCUUCAGAGACACAGAUGGAUGAAGCCUCCUAUCUACAGAACACUAAUCAACAGAUGACCAUUUAUGCGGCAUAUGUCAACCCUGAGGAAGGCUCCCACCUUGCUCUCCCUUCAGAGACACAGAUGGAUGAAGCCUCCUGUCCACAGAACACUAAUCAACAGAUGACCAUUUAUGCGGCACAUGUCAACCCUGAGGAAGGCUCCCAUCUUGCUCUCCCAUCCACAGAACACUAAUCAACAGGUAAAUUCAUGUUCAGCACUUAAGCUUUACUCCUAGAGUCUUUCUGCCGUUUUUAUUUUCUUUUAAGCAGUUGACUUAAGGAAUUAGGUUUAUUGUGAUGGUC